AACGAACCGGGCCGUGGUCGGAGGGAGAGUUGGGGUGAGACGUGGAUAUACGCUGGAUCCGGAACUUAAUCACCGCGGGCUGCAGCGCGACGCCGGGACGGUCUCACCUCUUCCUCUUUUAGUGGUCUCACUGCGCUGCUCUGGCGUGAUUGAGACGGCAGGACAGCGAGGAGGAGAGGUUGGACACGUGCUCAUGGUGAAGUUUUACCCACCUAACUAGAAGACUCAAAGUUGAGUUAGAAGUUAUACGGACUUAUCAAGACGGAAGGAUUAUUGCCUUGUUCGCAGCAGGCAGCCAACGAGGCCCCGUCUUGCCCUGUGUUCUUGUGGUGUCCUUGGCAGGAACGAGCAUGUCAGCUUUCAAGUGCACCUCGUUGAAAUAUGAGAUCACAGAUGAAUUUCACGACGAGCCGUGGCACCUUGGUGCAGAGACGGAGCUAAUGAGAGGCAAUUACCAAGAUGCAGAACUCGCUAAUGGACUUUUACUAUCGUUUGUCUUCAGCUGAUCUCGCUGCACUCCUCCUACGGCGUGCAGGGGAUGUGCGGGGAAUGGGAGCACAGCGAGUGUGGGCCACAAGUGAACGUGUGUCUUCAUCAUGUUAGUUUGUCACGUGUUGGGUCCAUAAGUCAUAAGUCGAGCAUUGUGCAAGCAGUGUUGAUCAAGAACUGAACUCGAGUGAGAAACUGUCCUAUUGUAACCCUGGAGCCAAGGCAUCACUCCAAUAUUAGCAACGCAUUUAGCUGCAAUAGCUUGAAAUGUAUGGCCCCAGGCCCGAAUCUAUUUAACCUUCAAAGAGGCAAUGAAUAGCUGUUAGUAAUAGCUUAGAUAACCUUUGAAAUAAAAUGUGUAUAAUUGCACAUGGUGACUGCUAAUGAUUCCAAUAAUUAGAUAUCAUUUAACAAUAUAAAAAUUGGA